GACGAACGCUGUCGGCGUGCUUAACACAUGCAAGUCGAACGGAAAGGCCCUGCUUUUGUGGGGUGCUCGAGUGGCGAACGGGUGAGUAACACGUGAGUAACCUGCCCUUGACUUUGGGAUAACUUCAGGAAACUGGGGCUAAUACCGGAUAGGAGCUCCUGCUGCAUGGUGGGGGUUGGAAAGUUUCGGCGGUUGGGGAUGGACUCGCGGCUUAUCAGCUUGUUGGUGGGGUAGUGGCUUACCAAGGCUUUGACGGGUAGCCGGCCUGAGAGGGUGACCGGCCACAUUGGGACUGAGAUACGGCCCAGACUCCUACGGGAGGCAGCAGUGGGGAAUAUUGCACAAUGGGCGGAAGCCUGAUGCAGCAACGCCGCGUGCGGGAUGACGGCCUUCGGGUUGUAAACCGCUUUCGCCUGUGACGAAGCGUGAGUGACGGUAAUGGGUAAAGAAGCACCGGCUAACUACGUGCCAGCAGCCGCGGUGAUACGUAGGGUGCGAGCGUUGUCCGGAUUUAUUGGGCGUAAAGGGCUCGUAGGUGGUUGAUCGCGUCGGAAGUGUAAUCUUGGGGCUUAACCCUGAGCGUGCUUUCGAUACGGGUUGACUUGAGGAAGGUAGGGGAGAAUGGAAUUCCUGGUGGAGCGGUGGAAUGCGCAGAUAUCAGGAGGAACACCAGUGGCGAAGGCGGUUCUCUGGGCCUUUCCUGACGCUGAGGAGCGAAAGCGUGGGGAGCGAACAGGCUUAGAUACCCUGGUAGUCCACGCUGUAAACGGUGGGUACUAGGUGUGGGGUCCAUUCCACGGGUUCCGUGCCGUAGCUAACGCUUUAAGUACCCCGCCUGGGGAGUACGGCCGCAAGGCUAAAACUCAAAGGAAUUGACGGGGCCCCGCACAAGCGGCGGAGCAUGCGGAUUAAUUCGAUGCAACGCGUAGAACCUUACCUGGGUUUGACAUGGAUCGGGAGUGCUCAGAGAUGGGUGUGCCUCUUUUGGGGUCGGUUCACAGGUGGUGCAUGCCUGCCGUCAGCUCGUGUCGUGAGAUGUUGGGUUAAGUCCCGCAACGAGCGCAACCCUUGUUCACUGUUGCCAGCACGUUAUGGUGGGGACUCAGUGGAGACCGCCGGGGUCAACUCGGAGGAAGGUGGGGAUGACGUCAAGUCAUCAUGCCCCUUAUGUCCAGGGCUUCACGCAUGCUACAAUGGCUGGUACAGAGAGUGGCGAGCCUGUGAGGGUGAGCGAAUCUCGGAAAGCCGGUCUCAGUUCGGAUUGGGGUCUGCAACUCGACCUCAUGAAGUCGGAGUCGCUAGUAAUCGCAGAUCAGCAACGCUGCGGUGAAUACGUUCCCGGG
rnacentral:rRNA from 1 species